UGCAUGGCGUCACGUAGGACUUUCCAAGCCCUUUUUUAAACCUUUACAACAACAAGUCGUAUGAGCUACAAUGAGACAACUCAGAGGAAUAACGUGUAGUUUAUCCGGAUGGGAUUCAAAAGAGAGAACCUCCUAGUAAGUUUUGUUGUCAGAGACUCCGAGAGAUUUCAAGAGAAAGCAUCUUUAUACUAGUGAAUCUCAUCCCAUGAAGCAAAGUAAAUGGGGUGAGAUUCUUAAUUCAAAGUCGAAGAUAUUCUUGUUACUACUCUGCUAAAAUUCAUUAUAGACUUUCUAGUUCUGAAUUUAGUAGAAGGCUCUAACUUCAACCGACGAGGUUAGAUUUUGACGUCAGUU